rnacentral:tRNA from 1 species
UCCCCGGUAGCUCAACGGUAGAGCAAGAAGCUGUUAACUUCGAGGUUUGAGGUUCGAAUCCUCACCGGGGAGCCA